GGGUCACUGUGGUCAGGGAGACUCAGCUCUUUGGCCUAGUAUGUAAAUCUAAAAGCUGUGCAAUGGUUCUAUUUAAAUUGGACCAAUCCGUGCAGCCAGUCUUUACUGAACAUGUACGUGCCUAGGAAGUCUUAGGAAUGGGUAAGUGCUCCUGUUCCCACACAGUCUACAGACCUGGGUGCAAUGGUGAGAAAGACCUCAGUAAAGCAAAGGAAUUACAAAAGGGAGAGGGCUAAAGCCAAGCCUUUGGCCUCAUCCUAUUCUGACAUCACAGGGAGGCAGCAGCUGAGGCUGUGGUGGGAGAAGAAUGACAAGAACUGAAAGAACUGAGCUUGGACCACGGGCUCUUACCUUCAGCAACUUCAUCAGCUCUUCCAGCUGGACCAUCAGCUCCCGCCUGCUCUCCUGCAGGGCCGACAUCCUCUGCUCCAGUUCAUCCUUCCUUUGCCUAUCCAAGACGAGAAGCCCAUCAGAUAAAGAGACCCUCAAAGAUGGAUCUAAGGCCAGGUGAAAUGGAUUUCAGACCUGAUCCUGCUACUUACCAGUUAUGAGACGCUGAGCAAGUCAUUUAGCAUCCAAUACCUCAUAAAAUGGUGAUAAUGUCUGUUUUGCCUACUUUCCUGGACUGUUCUGAGAAAAAUAGGAGAGACCAGACAGUCCUACAUAGCAUAAUGGGUCAGGACAAGAUGACUAGAUACAGCAACAUGUUGCUGGGAAGCAGAGUGGAAAACGCAAUGGAAAACCAAGUUGAAUGAGUUGGAGACUCCAUAGAGAUGAGCUUCUAGAAUAAAAUGGCACUGACUUAGCUGAAGGACUGAAAAAGAAAGCUGAAUUUGCAACAUGUGAGAACAUUUUGUGCAAAGGACACAACCUGGAGCUCCAAAGGACCUACACUCAAUGAAUGGGCUUGGUCCUACAUCCGAAUAUACAUGAGGACAUGCAGAGAAAUGUUAAAGUAUACAGGUACCAUUUUUAUGGUUCCCUAUUUUAACUUAUUUAAAAAUGUAGUAAUGGUAUUUUUAACAUAGGCAAAAGGAGAGAAAAUAAUGUAUUUCCAUAUACUCAAACUAGGUUAAACAGUUACAAAGAUUUUUGACACAUUUGCUUCAUCUAUCCCAUAUUUUAUUUCUCUCUCAAGUAUUUUAAUGCAAAUUCUUGAAAACAAUCACCCCUACAGACGUCAGCAGACAUCUGCAGAAAUAUUUUAAGCCAGCUUUUGAUUGCUGACCAACCUGUGGUACAGGUAACAGGACUCCUACUGGGUACCAAGUCAUUCACCUACAAGCCUACCUUUCCCCUCUCUUUGCUUCAACCCAGAAGACCUCAAGGCAAAUAAACUGAUUCCUGGAUCCUGAGUGGUUCCUGGUUCACAUGGAACGACAUCUCUGAAGCUUCAACUCAGUGAUUUACUUCCCCAAACCUAUUCCUUUCAUCCUUACAAUGAAACCACCUGUGUAACAACCCGAUUCUUUGAACGUUUUCUGGGAGUCCAGAGCAAGCCUAAACUUUCAGUGAACAUCCUAAGGCAUUCUGUAUUGAACCAGGUUCACUCCAAAAACCCAGUUGGGGCCAUUUCCCAAGGAGCUCAGAACAACCCGAGGAAUGGAUUCAUGGGCUGUCCUAAAGUAGCCUUACUCACAGGUAUCAGAGAAUUCACUUGCUUCUAGGCCCUUGGAUUGCUUUAAUUCUUUCAAUUUUCUUUUGUUCAACAACAUAAAAAAUAUAUUCUACUUAUUCCAAUUUUUACAUGUCACAUUCUGAAUAUUAUCCUGUACCAGUUGCUUCUUGGUUGUUAUAUAACUUGUUUGGUAAAGUUAUGCUGACAGCUUUAAUGAGGCGAUGUCAUGUGAUGCAUGAAUUUCCCCUGGUGCUGAAUGUGGGCAUUAGCAACUCAGUAUUGUGUGUUAGGGCAGUGGAGAAUCAGGGUGUAUCUAAUAAAUUCCUUCAUGGAGGUCUCAUGUCAUUAAGCAGAAUUUGCUCUUUCAAGAAGUUUCUUGAUCACCUCUGAAGUAAUAAAGAAAACACUUAACAGGGUCUUAACAAAAACUUACAAACUGAAAAGUUCCAAAUCUGUAUCAAAUUCAAAGCCAGGGUUGUUUUCAAUCAGGGAAACCUGAAUCCUAAGGAAGAACCAGAAAUAUUUUUUUCAAAGACACUCAGGCAUCAUAGGCAUUCCUAAGUUGUGAAAUGAAAAUAAGGUUUCCUAGAAAGUUAGGAUAGAGAUGGUAUUUAAUCUGCAUUCUGGCUAGGAAGAUGAUGACAUGCACCUUUUCAACUUUUCCCUAAACAGAUUUUUUUUUUCCUCUUAACUUAUUCCAGACCAAACAGGUUUCAAAAAUCAAGAAAACUUCGGGGUUCAGAUUUUUGAACUUUUAAUAAGCCCAGAGAUUUGGCUCAUAUUUGGCAAGCUCGCCUAAAGUCUCAACAACAUCUAGUCUUUUCUAGUUCAACGUGAGCUAAUGAGGGCCUAAUAAAGUGCAAAACAUGGCCUGAAAGAGUAAAGUACUGGUCCUUUGCCAAGAGGCAGAUUACAGAGAAGAAUCUGAUAGAUUAACAGAGAAACUAAAAUUAUUGCCUUGUGCACUCUAUCCAAAACUAAUGGUUUUCAACUAAGGGUCAUAUCUAACAUGGCAGGUGACUCUGGCUUAUCCCUAGUCCAGAAACGUUUCUCUUGGUCAGUGGUUAUCAAACUUGGCCACGCACUCCAGUCACCUAGAGGGAUUUUUAAACCCCCAGUGCUUAGGUUGUAUCAUCCAAGACCAAUUAAAUCGAUGUCUGGAACUGGGCUUAGGCAGCAGUAGUUUCAAAAACUUCUCAGGUGAUUUCAAUGUACAUCCAAGGUCGAUGCGCUGCUCUAAGAAUCAGAGUUCUUGUCAAAACAGACAGAACUGGGUCACUGUAGAACAUCUCCUGCACAUUUUUGUUGUUUUAAGAAAAAAACCAAUUUACUUAGCACCAAAUACCAAAAACAUUGGUUAUGUAAGUCAAAAACACUGGUAGUGUAUAUCUGACUGUAAGUAUGGAAAGUGAUCCCAGAAGGGUAUUUAAAGGGUACCACAUUCACAACUAAAGUCACAUAACCCUGUGUUUGAAUCUCAAGUCUAGCUGAGGAACCUUGGGCAAGACGAUUUAACCUUGUUCUGCCUCGGUUUCCUUUUUUGUAAAGUCACAUUGGGAAUCAACUAUCCUUCAGAGUUGCUGUUAGAACCAGAGGUAAUAGUUCUAAAAUAUCCAGCACAGGGUUAUAAAUACAGAUGGCCCUCGAAAUGGUAGCUGUUAUUUUUCAUUCUGUUAUUAGGUCAAAGCAGUCAGGCAGGGUAACAUCUGGAGGAAAAAGACUUCUCAAACGCCACAGACAUAUAAGCUGAAUGAGUUUAGGAGACAAAAGGUGAGAGAUCAUCUAAAAAUUAAACAAUAAUCAAAGACCUAACAAUGAAUGCAACUGUUAGCUUGAAUGGAUGGAGGCGUUAACGCCAGAGCAAUGAAAGGCAAAAAAGUUAGGGAUCAGAGGACCAUAUUAUAAAAGUUAAAGCUCUGUAUUUAAGAAUGAAGGCUCCAGAGUGGGAUCCAUUUACUAUUACAUGCGAAUAAGGUGUUGAGGUCCCUUUAGUCCUUGGAAGGACAAGGUGCCUCUAACUUCCUGUCUCAGGAGCAUUCUCUCAGGUUCAGGUGGACUCACAGAGCUCCAUCAUCUUAAUGAGAUGAGACACAUCUGAAAAAUACAGGAUAAUAAAUAAGACCCCUUUGAGUCAAACUGGGCAAAUGUUAUAAAACCAAGGGAUGCCGACACAGUCAGCAAACGGUAAUCCAGUAGCAUGCAUUUCUGGAGCCUCCUAAAAAGAGCCCGGAGACUCCUAUCUGUAUGAAUGUGGCAAGAUGAGUUCCAAAGAGAUGUGCCUGGUAUCAGCUAGGCUUUCUUUAUAUUCCAGGGGCAGCCUGCCCAUCACCUAAGCUGCCAUAGACUACCCAGAGGGCUGUGGAUUGUCACCCUCUCUCAAAAAUCCAAUCUGCUGUUGAAGGCAGUGAUUCCCAAGCUCACCGUAAAUCAGAAGGCUGGGAGUUUUCUUUUUUCCAAUAAAAAUGGAUGGGCCCUAAAUCCAGAGAUUCUGAUUCAGAAGGUCUGAGGCAAAGCCAAGGAUCUAUAUAUUUUUAAAAUACUUCAUACAUGAUUACAACAUGUAGGGAGGUUUGGAGCCAUUACAUGUGUGCAAAACAUCAUAGGAGACUGUCGAUCUUUAAUUAUAAUGGGCCAUGAGGGUAUUUCUGAAUGCUGCAUGCCUGGAGCAGCUGACAAGGAGAUGGGGGCUGUGCAGCCUGGGAUCUGAAAGAAACUGCUCAGAAAUGUUUAAGUGUGAGGUAGCAUGACAAUGGGUGAUAGUUUCCCCUUUCUUUCACCUUUCUUCCAAGUUUUCCAUAAUGAGUUUUAAAUUUUUUUUAUAAGGGAAAAAAAACCCUUACAGGUAAACAAAACAUCUGAUUACAUCUUGGUGACGUUUGUGAUGACACUUUAAGAAUUUGCUAUUACGACUACAAUUUACCACACAUUAUAGUUUUGUUUUUAAAAAAGGAAUUUAGGACCGGGCGCGGUGGCUCACGCCUGUAAUCCCAGCACUUUGGGAGGCUGAGGCCGGUGGAUCACCUGACAUCAGGAGUUCAAGACCAGCCUGGCCAACAUGGUGAAACCCUGUCUCUAUUAAAAAAAUACAAAAAAUUAGCCGGGUGUGGUGGCAGGCGCCUGUAAUCCCAGCUACUCAGGAGGAGGCUGAGGCAGGAGAAUUUCUUGAACCUGGGAGGCAGAGGUUGCAGUAAGCCGAGAUUGCGCCACCG